GGAAGAGGAUCGGCGCCCGGUGGGCCGCACGGACUUCAAAUCCGAUGGGACGCGUGAGACGUGUCCGGUGGGUUCGACUCCCACCCUCUUCCGCCA
rnacentral:tRNA from 1 species